CUGGGAAGACAGAGCUCCAGCUCCUGGAACCCAGCUCUGCUCUACACACCAUGGCCUGGACCCCCGUGCUCCUCCUCGUGCUCCUCUCUCACUGCACAGGUUCCCUGUCCCAGCCUGUGCUGACUCAGCCGCCCUCCCUCUCUGCAUCUCCGGGAGCCACAGCCAGACUCACCUGCACCCUCAGCAGUGGCUUCAGUGUUGCUGACUACCACAUUCGCUGGUUCCAGCAGAAGCCAGGGAGCCCUCCCCGGUACCUCCUGAGGUACAAAUCAGACUCAGAGAAGCACCAGGGCUCCGGGGUCCCCAGCCGCUUUUCUGGAUCCAAGGACACAUCAGCCAAUGCAGGGCUCCUGCUCAUCUCUGGGCUACAGCCUGAGGACGAGGCUGACUAUUACUGUAAUAUGUGGCACGAUAGCAGUAAAACUUACACGGUGCUCCAGAGUCACGGGGAAGUGAGACUAAAACCCUCCCUGUGCUCUUUCUGUCCGUGGCUAUCACCCCUGAUCUGCCUGGGACCAAGUCCAACUCAGGGUGUCAUUUGUUGUCACUUCUUCAGUGGGCAACUGUUUUCCCAAGACUCAUGGGCAUGUGAUUUUUUUCUGAUUCACUGUAGUUAA